UGGGGAAUCUUGCGCAAUGGGGGAAACCCCGACGCAGCGACGCCGCGUGAGUGAUGAAGGCCUUCGGGUUGUAAAGCUCUGUGGAGAGGGACGAAUAAGUGUGGUCGAAUAGGCCGCAUGAUGACGGUACCUUUUUAGCAAGCACCGGCUAACUGUGUG
rnacentral:rRNA from 1 species